AGGGAUGUCAGGCGGACGGGUUUUUACGGGUACCCGAUCCGCCCAAACCCUAUUAGGACGGAUUUGGGUUUUUACAAAACGGAUUUGGGCGGAUUCGGAUUUGAAAAAUUUUACCCGUUUCGGAUUCGGGUAGGGUUCGGGGUUAGGUGAUCGGAUACCCGUUACCCGGUUACCCGAACCCGAUUACCUAUAUUAACAAAACUAACCCUAAUUUCCUUUUUCAUUUUACUCUUUCCUCUCUCCGUCGGCGCCUCUCUCCCUCGCUUCCCUUUCCUCUCUUCGUCGACGCCUCUCCCCCACUUCACU
rnacentral:lncRNA from 1 species